UGCCCAGCAACUCCUAUCACUACCUCCUCGGGGUUCUGCCCGGGUACGUGUAACCUUGGGGAAGAUCUGGUAACCAACCCCGGUAGGAACUUUGGUUGUAUGCUGACAGGGAAGG
rnacentral:ribozyme from 1 species